AGUUGGUUUGGGUGUAUGUGAUGGUGAUUAAAUGAAGUGCAUUGUGUAACAGCUGAGGAUAUUAGAGUUGAACUGGAAGUGGGAGAAGAACAAUUGGGUUAAAGUUGGUUUGGGUGUAUGUGAUGGUGAUUAAAUGAAGUGCAUUGUGUAACAGCUGAGGAUAUUAGAGUUGAACUGGAAGUGGGAGAAGAACAAUUGGGUUAAAGUUGGUUUGGGUGUAUGUGAUGGUAGUUGUGUGUCUGAAGUGAAGUAUGGAUGAGUACUUAGAGUUUUGCAAUGGUAAUGUAGGGUUAUUGAUGGUCUCAGUGGAGGCUUGCUU